GCCAUCAUAGCUCAGUGGCAGACACUGGUCUUGUAAACCAGGGUCGUGAGUUCGAUCCUCACGGUGGCU
rnacentral:tRNA from 1 species